ACAGUCCUUCCCCAGAUGAGACCAGUGUCCAGGGUUCUGGCUCCUCAUCUCACUCGGGCCUAUGUCAAAGAUGCAAAAUUUGGAUCGGAUGCCAGAGUCUUAAUGCUUCAAGUUGUAGACCUUUUAGCCGAUGCUGUAGCUAUCAUAAUGAGACCAAAGGGAAGAUUGGUGAUUAUUAAACAGAAUUGGAGAAGUUCCAGUGUAACAAAAGAUGGGGUUACUGUUGCAAAGGCAAUUAAUUUAAAGGAUAAAUACAAAAAUAUCAGAGCUAAACUUGUUCAAGAUGUUGCAAAUAACACAAAUGAAGAGCCUGGGUAUGGCACUACCACUGCUACUGUUCUGGCAUGUUCUAUUGCCAAGGAAGGCAUUGAGAAGAUCAGCAAAGGGGCUAAUCCAGUAGAAACCUGGAGAGGUGUGAUGUUGGCUGUUGAUGCUGUAAUUGCUGAAAUAAAAAAACCAAUCUAAAGCUGUGAAAACUGAAGAAAUUGCUCAGGUUGCUACAAUUUCUGCAAAUAAAGACAAAGACAUUGGAAACAUCACUUCUGAUGAAAUAAAAAGUUUGGAAGGAAGGGUGUCAUCACAGCGAAGGGUGGAAAAAGCCUGAAUGAUGAAUUAGAAAUUAUUGAAGGCAUGAAGUUUGACAGAGGAUAUAUUUCCUUAUAUUUUAUUAACACAUCAAAAGGUCAAAAAUGUGAAUUCCAAGAUACCUAUGUUCUGUUGAGUGAAAAGAAAAUUUCUAGUGUCCAGUCCAUUGUACUUGCUCUUGAAAUUACUAAUGCUCAUGGGAAGCCCUUGGUCAUAAUUUCUGAAGAUAUUGAUGGAGAAGCCUAAACACACUGGUUUUGAACAGGCUAAAAGUUGGUUUUCAGGUUGUGGCAGUCAAAGCUCCAGGUUUUGGGGAAAAUAGGAAGAAUCAGCUUAAAGACUACUGGUGGUGCUACUGGUGGUGGGGUAUUUGGAGAAGAGGGGCUAAAUCUAAAUCUUGAAGAUGCUCAAGCUCAUGACUUUCCUUUCAAAAGCAUGGUGUCAUCUUUGGUGACAAUGAAAGUUGAAGAGGUCAUGGUCACCAAAGAUGACACCAUGUUUUUGAAAGGAAAGGGUGACAAAGCUCAAAUUGAGAAGCACAUUCAAGAAAUGACUGAGCAGCUAGACAUCACAACUAGUGAAUAUUAAAAAGGAAAACUGAACGAAAGACUCACUAAACUUUCAGAUGAAGUAGAUGUGUUGAAGGUUGGAGGAACAAGAGAUGUUGAAAUGAAUCAGAAGAAAUACAGAGUUACAAUGCUCUCAAUGCUACAAGAGCAGCUGUUGAGGAAUAUAUUGUUCUAGGAGGGGGCUGCUCUCUGCUUUGAUGCAUCCCAGCCUUGGAUUCAUGAAAGCCUUCUAAUGAAGAUCAGAAAAUACGUAUAGAAAUCAUUAAAAGAGCACUCAAAAUUCCUGCAAUGACAAUCGCUAAGAAUGCAGGUAUUGAAGGAUCUUUGAUAGUUGAGAAAAUUCUGCAGAGUUCCUCGAAAGUUGGUUGUGAUGCUAUGCUCGGAGACUUUGCUAACAUGGUGGAAAAGGGAAUCAUUGAUCCAACAAAGGUUGUAAGAACUGCUUUCCUUUCCUGGAUGCUGUUGGGGUGGCCUCCUUGCUAACUACAGCAGAAGCUGUAGUGACCAAAAUUCCUAAAGAAGAGACCCUGGAAUGGGCACAAUGUAUGGGAUAGCUGGGGUUAUGUGAGAUGGCAUGUUCUAA